CGGACACAUUUUGACGCCGCACUGGUUGAAAUCCUCCUUGCCCGACAGGCAUUGCAAUCUCAUCUGAUGAACGAGAUCAUCUUCAGAUAACGGAAAGAUAUUAUCUGUAAUCCAAGAGCGCUCUGAAAUGAUAUCAUCUCUCAAUCUUGAGCAUUAGAAGAUAACAGCUGUCAUGAUUCUUUGAGUUAACAACGCGUGAUUGGAAGGCAAUUUUGGGAAACAGUUUGUUUUUCCAAAUAACAGUGAUCUUCGAAUAUACCGUUGUAUUUGACAACCAACAAUGGCGAGAAAUCAUUCAGGAAUAUUGGAAAACCGUGGUCAGUUAAGCGAUGAAAACUACAAUUUCUGAACGACACAAGCAAUGUUUGGCUUGUAUUAUUUUUAUAAUAAAAUAACAGUAUUCCCAAUAACAAAACCCUUUUGUUUUUGCUAUAGAGCGACCGGGAAGUUCCUCUUGAAUUUGCCCACUUACAUAGUGAAUAUAUUUAGUUGAGCUUUCAGCUGUCUAGUUAUCAGGGAAAUCCAGACUGUAUGACCAUUUGUUACAUGAGCAGUUUGUUUAUCUUCCCACACUUACAUACGCGGUUUUCCUGUGGGACGGUCUUGAAAGAUUCCACGUAGUGCGGUGAACCGCGUUUAUGAAGCUUCGUAACUUAUGUCAUUUAAGCUUAACGUCUAUUCAACAUAAUUUUCGUUCCGGUAAAAUUUGAAGUGAACGCAUUGUAAUUGUUGCCGCUAAGAAUCAUAUUCGAAUCAAUUGACUAGAUUCUUAUAUGCCACGGGUUAUACGUGAACUAAUCAGAGUUCGACACAGGGAUAGCAGUAGGUACAUAAUUAUUGGAUAACGCUCAAAUGGUAAAGUAUAAAUAUGUAAAUGAAUCGAUAUCAAGAAACAUGCUCCUUCUGAUUAGCAACUAAAGUUAUUUUUAUUUAUUGCAACAACUGUAUCAAUUCAUUCUUAUAUUCCCCUUGCCAAAUGUGUUUGUUCCCAUGGUGUUUACCCCAAGUAAAUCAAACGCGUCGAUUGCUGAGCUCAAGAUGACUCAUCUUAGCAUAAGAUACUGACAAAAAAAUUGAUCACAGAGCUCUCAGAUGAUAUCUCACAAUUCGAUCCAUGUCAUGCUCAGAUGAUCGAAAGAUGGGAUGAAAUGCAAUGCCUG